rnacentral:lncRNA from 1 species
UCCAUAAAAGUCUUAUCUACAGUGAAAAAAAUGAAUCAUAUAAGAGACGGCUUCAGAAUGUACGUAAGGUGUGCUUUGACUAGCCAGGAAAAGAACCUCUCCCUGUGUGCAAACAGAAUCUUUUCUUCACAUCACGUUAUUAAAACUGACAACAUCCUGUAAUCUGUUAUAAGCCCAUCUUCCUCUCCCCUUAUGUUACUUUUUCAUGGCUGUCUUUUUAUGCCUUGGUAUGGUGGAUUUCCUUUAUUUCUCUUUUAUUUCUAGAAGGAUUUUCUGUCAGGGUCAGGAAUAGGUUAUGACCCAUGCGGUGAGACUUGAGACCCACACACAGAUUUUCCUUCCUAAAGCACCGACUCCACUCCUUCAACAUGCGUGAGUUUCCUCAGAGAUCUACUAUUUGAGCUUCUCCCGCAGAACAUGGAUGAUCAUGUCAAAAUAGCUUACAUCAACAGAGUGUGUUACAAUAACGGGUUUUCAGUGAAGUCAUCAAAUAAGAUGCCAACAAAAUCCUUGUGAGCAGCAUAGGACACAUAUCCCCAUUACACACUCAAGAAACCCAACCUUAAGAGAGAUUAGAAACCUUCCGAGGUUCACAACACUGGUCAGCAGUGGACCUGGACACUGAACCUUGUCCUUCUGACUCCAAAUAUAGGUGUUUGCCAAAAUACAGUUCUACUGAAAAAUAGGCUAUUUGAAAAGAGUAACAAGAUUUUCUUUUCCAGUAUAGAUGGCAAAGGGUUAGGUUGUAGGUGCCAGAGAUGACUCAACUUUAAACUACAGAUUUAAGUCUGUAAAGGACCUUUAUGUCUGGAAACUUUAAGUCUGGAAGGGACCAUAGUAGUUAUCAAAUCUUACUCUUUUGUUCUACUGGUGAGGAAAUUGAGGCCUAGAGAAACAUUGUGACUAGUUUAAUGCACAGACAGUUGUGGGUGAAGCUGAUAUCAGAAGCCAGCUUCCUUGCUCCCAGCUCACUGUUGUUUGGAAAAUGCUACUCAACCUUUGUUAUUAGAUUUUUGCAUCAGUUGUGUAAAUUCAUGGUAGGACAUGAGAAAGUAAUGCUUUCAUGGUUCACAAAGAACAUUUUAAAGAAUCUCUCCCAUCAGAAUGUUUGACACAAACCUCUUUCUCUUUAGGCAGCUGGAUGGGAAUCAUCAUUGCUUCAUGGCACAAUGGCGUACAAAGAUGUUAACUCCAAGCCUUUCAAUUUCAGAAGUCCUGGUCCAGAUGUAAGACAGAAAAGUUUUAACAAAAUGGGUGAUUAGAUAGAUCUCCUGUGUUUCCAGCAGCCAUCCCAACCCUUAGUCUGCUAUCCCCAUGCCAUUAUCCAGAUUUAAAGACUUGAGAUGAGAGAGAAGAGAGUAGAACAGAUUAGAAAACAAGAUGUUCAUAGGACUUUUAAGAGGUCUCUUACUGAACCCUCACAUUGACUAGCUCCAAAUUAAGGCAUUGAUAGGACUCACAUAAACCUUUGAGAUGUAAGAAUGUAAAGGACCAGAAAAUUGUCUGAAUCAAAAAGGUCCACUGAAUAGUAAGUUUAUUUAAAAAAAAAAAGUCUACAUAUAAACACCUCAUACAUGAAAUGGUCAAAGUGAGAAUCCUAAAAGCCCCAAAUCAGCAAUGAUCACCUUCAAAGUGACAAGGAUGGGGAUGGCACCAUAAUGGAGAGAUAAAGUGGAAGCCAGGCAGCUUUCGAAUAGUAGCUUUAUUUAUUUAUUUAUUAUUUUUAAUUUCAAUAGGUUUUUGGGGAACAGGUGGUGUUUGGUUACAUGAUAAGUUCUUUAGCGGUGAUUUCUGAGAUUUUGGGGCACCCAUCAUCCAAGCGGUGUAUACUAUACCCAACGUGUAGCCUUUUAUCUCCUGCCACCCCCCACCCUUUCGCCCGAGUCCCCAAAGUCCAGUGGAUCGUUCUUGUGCCUUUGCAUCCUCAUAACUCCCACAUAUGACUGAAAACAUCAGUGUUUGGUUUUCCAUUCCUGAGUUACUUCACUUAGAAUAAUAGUCUCCAAUUCCAUCCAGGUUGCUGUGAAUGCCAUUAUUUCAUUCCUUUUUAUGGCUCGGUAGUAUGGAACACUAGCUUUAAAGUGCAAAGGAAAACAACUUUCAACCUGGAAUUCUGUACCCAGCUAACCAACCAUUAAGGUUGAAGCUUGGAUGCGAUUCCUUUCCCUUCCUCUUCAAAUGACUGAUGAACUUCAUCCUGAGUCGAAUAGUGGAGCUUCUCAGUAUUUCUUCAUUUGAGGUCGAGGGUAAAUUGCCUAUAGUUUCAGUCUGACAGCUACUCACUUAGGACCCAUUUUAACUAAUGAACAGUUUCUGUUUUACUAGUAGUUGAUAACUGUCAGAAGUUUUUUGAAAGGGUCGAAAGAAGAACCCCAGCCAGAUGGGCAGCAGUGUGGAAAAUAUAGAUUGAAAUGGCGUUAGAAAGAGGUCAAAGAAGGUGUAUUUUGGGGGAAUGUAAAAAAAUGAAGUCUGGUAGAAGGAUUUGGGGAAGAACUGACAUGACUAUAUAAUAUGGAGGGUGCAGAGUUUUAUGGCCUUGGACUUUGUCCCUUCAUAUUUGACAGCGAUGUUGACCAUGAUCACUGAUACAAGCAAACCCUUAACAUCUCCUGAUAUUGAAGCAAAUCCUAUCAGCAGGAGAAAGGAAAUGAGUCACUGUGGAGGUGUCCAUUAACUUUUAUAGCCAGUUUGAAAAAACUCUUGUCUUGAGAGCAGCAGGAUUCAUCCCCACUCACUCACCCCACAGUGGGAGACACGUGGCAUGGAACUAACUCUCCUUCUCCACCACUUCAUGAACAACCUAUUAUCUAUUUUCAUGAUAAGCUCUCCAGCUAGAAAGCAUCAGUUGAUUUGCCCAAGAGGCACAAUGGAAGUUCCACUACCAAGAUGUAAAAUAAAAAGCUUUCAUCUCUUAAGGUUUUCAACUCAAACUUAAUUUCCUUCAUGAUUCCUGUCCUAAACCAGCCCCCUCCUCUAUAACAUUUCCCACAGUGUGUGGAAAUUAUUUGCUUAUGGGCCUAAUGUCCUCAAUAAGGUAUCUUUUCUCAAGAACAGAGAUGUGACUUUUCAUAUUUGUCUAUAUGUCUGACACUUCAGUUGUGUUUAAUAAGUGCUCACUAGACAAAUCUCAGUGUAUUGAAAUCCCCAGGAUAGCACUUGACACAUAAUAGGCCCACAAUACAUGUUAGUUUCUUUACUCUAUAUUUUCUUCUAAAGAUUUUCACAGACUAGGUUGAGCUUUUUAUCUCAAUAAUUUAUAUACAUUUUACAGAUGCAUAUGUAGAGGUGUAAAAGGCUAUUAUAAUAGCAGGCACUAUAAUUCUUUUUUAGGGGAAUUGUCUUUGAUAGGGAAAAUACCUUGGUAAGUAAAUUGGGGUGGAAAGUGAGACCCUAAGAAUAUUGAUUAGGAAAAUGCAAGGCAGUAAAACGUACUUAAAUUGUUCUGCUUUUUAGCAAUAAACUUGAAAUUUAAUGGAGGGGAGCAGGAAAAAAGGUGAAGAGAGGGAGAGAAAGGAGACAGCAGAGUAGUAAAGCACUGCAAUGUGUUCCAAAGGGCUUUUAAAAACAUGUCUGUCUAAUAUUAAACUAAAUUUUUGUUUACUCUUUUGUAAAUUGUAAGCGUUCUAAAUUCUGCUAUGUUCACUGAGGCCUUGUAAGAGUGGAGAUUUUGGGUUGCUUUGCUCUUAUUUUUCUAUUAGAAUUUCAAAGUGUUGUGUUUAUUAAAAAGCACAGUAUUAUAUGUAGACCACAAUUUCAUUUUUGUAAAAAAAAUAAGCUGUAUAAGUAUUCACGGGUGUAUUAAUUUGUAUGCAUAGAAAAAUAUGCAAAUCACACUGAUCUGUGAUUAUUCUUGGGGAAUGAGAUGGGAGUGGAAAAAGAGAAGAACUUUGACUUUUUAUGGAAUUUUGUGUUGUUUGAAAAUGCUCACUAGCAUGUUUUAUUUUGUAAUUAGCCAAACAAAUAAAUACAUGAAAUAAUCCCUUUUCCAGCCACCUCACUAGGCUGCUGGGAAGACCAGUUAUGAUAAUCUAUGUGAAAAUUGUUGAAAACUGUAAAGUGCUCUGAAAACUCAGAAGUGCUAUAAACACACAAGGGAUUAUUUAUGUCAUUGAGCAAAAUGACCCAUGACUUUGGUUUCUCAUUUCUUUAUCAUUAAAAUAAGGGAGUUGGACUAGAUGGUUUCUUAAACGCCUGCCAGGUUCACAUUCUCUAUGGUGUAUCUCUGUUCCUUGCUUUUCAAUCACCAAGCUCUCAAAAUCUCAUCCUCCUGCCUUAUGGGCUUCCACAGCAUGUCCUCAGGGCUCACCUGGUCUGUAGCCUUGGGCUUUGUGAGUCCCUG